AUCCAACAGACGAGUCUCAAAUAGAACGAAACGGGAGUCCUGGAU
rnacentral:hammerhead_ribozyme from 1 species